UUCCAAAGGUUGUUGAUUCAAUCAAGACUGUUGAGAUCGUUGAAGGAAAUGGUGGUCCAGGCACUGUCAAGAAGCUCACUUUUGUUGAAGGAGGACAGACCUUGUACGUGUUGCACAAAGUUGAAGCCAUUGAUGAUGCAAAGUUGGAAUAUAAUUACAGUAUAGUUGGAGGAGUCGGUAUAUCGGAGAUAGUUGAGAAGAUAUCAUUUGAGGCCAAAUUGUUUGAAGGUCCAAAUGGUGGAUCUGUAGGGAAGAUGACGGUUAAAUAUCACACCAAAGGAGAUGCUAAGCCCAUUGAAAAGGAGGUUGAGGAAGGCAAAGCUAAGGGCGAUGCUCUUUUCAAGGCUAUUGAGGGUUACGUUUUGGCCAAUCCUAAUUACAACUGAUGAUACAAUCAUCACUCUCCUUACUAAUUAGCCUCCAAUGCAAUAAAGUGUCUGUUCCCUUUGGCUAUGUAUUUCACUUUAUCAAUAAUCAACAACUUAAUAUGAAGCCUAUCCAUAUAAUAUUUUUGUUGUUAUUAAGUUUAGCAACUGUUAAAAAUUUAUGAUCAUCCGUACGAGUUUAAAAUUUUAAAAAAGACUUAUUUUGUGGGUUAUAAGGCGAAAAUACACCGACACUUUCACUUUGGUUUGAUGGAUAUAAAUCGACUAUUUUAUUGGUGUCUACUAGUAUGUGUGAGAAUAAUCUAAACCGAGAGACUUAUAAUUUAGCAUACUUCGAAAAUUGACCUUAGAAAUUUGAUUUUUAUUUUGUAUACGUAAAUAUACAAACUAAUAGCGAAUGAUAUAAAAAGCAUUCAUUUCACGGAAAUUGUAUUAAACACUUUAAAAUUUCAUACAUAAAUUUAUAAAAUAAAUUUAUUGUUAGUGACACUUUUAUUCUUAGCGAGGCAAUUGACUAUUUUAUUGGUGUUUAUAAUUAUGGAUGAGAAUGAUUUAGGGUCCGUUUGUUUUGGUUUUUUUUAAAAAUGAUUUUUAUAGUGUUAUAUAUUUUAGUGUAAAAAAAAUUUACAAAGAAACUUUUCAUAAAAGCUUCCAAUGAAAAUUUGAUUUGAAUAGUUAUUCUUAAAAUGUUAUUUUAGGUAUUUUAUCAUUUUAUCGAAACUUUUUUUUGAUAUCAAAUUUUUAAAAAAUCACUUAAUUUUGAAGCUAUUUCAAAUAGUUUUUCAUAAAAAUCAUUUUUAAGAUGCAAUUUUUUGAAAAAAUUGUGAUUUUGACUAUGUUUUGAUUUUCAAUAAUGUAUAUUUAUGUUAUACAAUGAACAAUUCAAUCUUUUAAUUUAUAAAAAACAAAUUUAGAAAAACUUAUAAUAUUUUGAAAAACAUUUUUGUAGAAUUCAUUUUCAAAAAUAUAAAGAAAAAAUCCAUUUUUUUAAAGCUAAAACAAACUGGCCCUUAAACCUAUCAUCCGGGGCCUCUUAUCUAGCAUACAUCAAGAACAAUAUUAAAAAUUUGAUUUCUAUUUUAUAUGUGUAGGUAUAUACAGUCAAACUACUAACAAAUAAUAAGAAAAUUAUAGAUUUCAUAAAAAUUGUAUUAAGCACUUUGAAAUUUCAUACGGGAAUUUAUAAAUUAAACAUGAGAAAUGAUAACAAAAUAAUAUUGUCUCACAUGAUUAAAAAUAAAGAAUUCAAUAAGUAAAACGCAAAGAUAAUAGAGUCAUAUAGCAGAUAAGAUAUGGAUAUUUAAAGCAAUAGGGAAGUCAAUAAGUAAAACGCGAAGAUAAACACCCAAACAUGCGAAUGAGGAAACCAAGACUGAGUUUGACUUGCAUAGGGAAGAGUCUCCAAUAGAGUCGCUAGAUGUCGCUAUACGAAAAAUACAGAGUCACCAUCGGAUUUUAUUUAUUCCAAAGGAAAUGGGAGAUAUCGAGAAAACCCCAAAAGAAUGGUCAUCGCAAUCAUGAGCAGAUUCAUAAGUCGAUUAUGCAAAGGGAAGGUAUUAACAUACCUCACAUCCAUUGUACUCAAUGAGAACCAUCUUGAUUGUCUACGCUUAAAUGGGUGUUACUCCUAAUGCUUACUUGAUAAAGAUUUACGGAGUGGAAAUGAGUUUUUUAUUAGUGUGCUCGCAAAGGAUUUGGACCCUCGUGCCUACGUAAGCUCACUUGUUGAAGUGAGAAAUCUGAGUCCCGUAGUUCCUGAUAAAAAAUGAUUGUUUGUUGAUUGAUUUUACCUUGAAAAAGGGUUUUCGGAAUGAUGCCCUAAGGCGCAAAAUAUAGUUUGAUGAGUUGAUGUUAUUUUUAGGUUUUUUUUGGUGAAAAUGUGGUUGAUUUGAAUUGCACUACUACACGGAGCAUGUCAUCCUAAUCGUAUUUUAUUACUUUUUGAGUUUUAUUGAGAGAAUGCCACUUGAUGUUGAAUCAAGGGUUUUUGAUAAAUAUUUUGUGAAAUUGUGAGAGAUUGAGAAAUGAGGUGGAAUAGAGUGGAUAAGAUACUUAACGUUGGAUCAAGCACCCGAGUUGCUUUGUGUGAGUUUGUUUGGAAAACACUUGAUGUUGGAUCAAGUGUGCUUUUUUUUUGUCUUUUGAAAAGUCUCUUUUUAUCGUUUGGUUUUAUCUUUUUAGUUAGCAUGCAUGGAAAGCUAUAAAAGCAUAUAAACCUAAGUUAUUACACUUGCAUGGGAUGUGGGGACAUGUGACCCACAAUAGGGAGAUGGAACUAUACAAUACAAAGGAUAAAGAAUUGGAAACCAUACAAGUAACAAUGCAACUCCAUGCAUAAAACAAUCAAGUGAUAUGGUGUCCUAAAAAAUAAAAGGAAAAUGAUGAUUAAUAGGAAAGUAACUUGGACCCAACUUGAGGUUACAAUGGUCAUGUAAACACCCAAGCAAGUGGGGUUAUUAUGAAUUAAAACAAAUAAGAACAAUGCAUUAAAAUCAGCACAUUCAAUUAUUAUCCAUGCAUAAAAGAAUUAUUUAAGAAAAAAACAAAUCAUUCAUGCAACAAUAAUCCAUGCAUGCCAUCAAGAGUGGAAGAAUUAAUUUCUAAUGGUCUUUUAAUUUAAAAAUUAAAGUCUCAAGUAAAAAUUUAUCCUAGUCAUUUUUCAAGUGUAUUUGUCAUGACUUAACAUGGAAAUGAAUGGAGUUAAUGGAGAAUUAAUUCAAUUAAAUGUCAAAAGAGAAAAUAUGCUAAUUAACCACAAAACAUGAAUUUAUUAUGAAUUUACAUGAAUUAAAUAAUUGACAAAGAAAUGAUAAAAAAAUCAACAAUAGAGUAAAAACAAUUGAAUUUGUAGGGGUGCAUAACUCAGGGGGUGUGCAGCCUGGAAAAAGAGGCUUUGCGUCUAACAGAAAAGACCCAAAUACAAAGAGUUACUAUUGGAUUCAACAUGGAUAUCAUCCAGUAAAACACAUGUGUGGAAAGCAAAAUUGUGGACUUAAUGGCCUAAGCCAAGCAAAUUUGGCAAGGGAAUGAGGCAAAAAUUCAGCAACACUAACUUCAUCAACAUCUCUACACAUCUUGUUCAAUUUUCAUGUAAAAAAGAAACCACGACCAGAGCUCUGACACCACCGCGCGGGAGGCGGCGGAGUUCCCCGGAAUAAAUAAAAAGCACAAGUUUUCUACUCCUCUCAACUCCCUCUAUUCUAAUCUCUCAUCUAUUCUAACCAAGAUUUAACCAAUUUUGAAAGUUGGUGCAUUACAGUCAAGAACCCUACACACAAAAACUGAAAUUAAACGGAGAUGAAGGAGAAUCAAGCCACCAAACCUGGGGGUUUUGAUUUUCUAAUGCACAAGCUACAUUAUAGUAUAAAAAAUUCAGCAAACAAAGAAGGAUAAAAAAUCGGAUACCUACAAGAUAGAGGUUUGUCUUGAAACUUGCUGAAAUUUGAAGAUGAUAAAGAUGAAGAAGAUAGAGGUAUGCUUCUUUCAUCUCCUACUUCUGCUCUUCAAUGAUUUGACUUUGAAAUUUUUUGAAUUUGGUUGUUGUUCUUGAUGUUGAUUUUUGCAAUUAUGAGAGUACUGUAGAAUGUAGGUGGUUUAGCUCAAUUGAUAACAAGCUUCAGUGUGAAGCUUGAUCUAAUUGUUGUAGAGCUUUAGUGUAGGUCGAGGAAUUGAAGAAGAUGAAGUGAUAGGAGAAAAGUUGAAUUUGCAAUGAGUGAUUUGAGAGAAUUAGUAGGUUCUGAUUUUGGUGAUAGCUAGCUUCUGGUUUCGAUGAGAGUGAUGAGUUUAUAUAGAUGCAAAUUCCAACUGUUUUAGUCAGAUUUUCCGGGCAACGACGGUUGGAAGUUAGGGCAGCGGUUAGUGUUAGAGGAUCCAAUAAACAAGUUAGUUGUGAAGUUAAUGGUGUUAGAUUUUCUGUUAAAGUUAGUUGGAGUUGUUAGUGGAACUAUUAUGGGAUGUUAGAAUAGCUUAAUUGUUGGACUUUUUAUGACUUGAAGUAUGGUUGGGAGUGAGUUAGUGUAGUGUAAUGUUGCUACACAAUUGAACAUAAAUUGUAAGGUGUAUUGGACUUGGUUUGGAAGUGAUUUGGGAGUGAAAACAAAAUUUUGCAAUGCUAAAAAAUGCAGUAUUUUUUGUUGUUGUCCCAGGUGUAACCGGUUACUUGAUUUUUUGUAACCGGUUACACAUCUGAAAACUAGUGUAAAAAUUCUGAUUUUUGUCUGUGUAACCGGUUACCUGAUUUUGCAUAACUGGUUACACACACGAAAACUUGUGUUUUAGGCUGCUGAAAAUAUUGAAAAUGCAGGUGUAACCGGUUACCUAAUUUUGCGUAACCGGUUACAUGCAUGAAAAAAAGUUUUUUCUACUUUUCACUAUUUUGUGGAAUGUAUGGACCGCGACUCAUUGUGUAUGUUUUCUGGUAUAUUUUUGCAGGUCUGACUAUAAUUUUAAAUUUUUUUAGUGAUAAUUAUUAAUUGAAAAUAUGAUUUUUUUAGUGAAUAUAAUUUUAAUCUUUGUAUUUUAUUAAUUAUUAAUUAUUUUUUUAGUUAUAAUUAUUAUUUAAAAAUAUUUUUUUGAUUAUUAAUUUUUGUAUUUAUUAAAAAAAAUCAUGUGAAAUAGAAACAAUGUGGCAAAAUUCUGACAAAAAAAUCAUUAGUGACAUAUUUUCCAUGUCGUUUAUUGACAAUUUUGUGACGUGAAUUUCAUGUGGCUACCUAGUCCACAGUCUGUUGCCUAUAUCUAGACGCUGCAAUGUGGUGCAGUCUAUUGACAAUUAUCGACGUGAAUAUCAUGCCACAACUUAGUGGCUUGUUUUUCACGUGGUAAUGUGAUGCAAUCUAUUUUUUAUUUACGUGAAUAUCCUGCGACAACUUAGUGGCGUGUUUUUCACGUGACAACUAUUUGCCACGAGUACUCAUGCGACGUGUUUUGAAUACGUCACUAACUACAUUUUGUGACGUAAUAUUUGAGUUUGUGACGUGAAUUUAACGUGCGAAUGACUGUUUUAUUUUGUGUGAAUUUCGAGUUUGUUAAAAAGGAUAAGGUUUUAAUUUAGAUUUUAGGAUUUUCUUUUUUUUUUAAGGAUUUGAGCUUGUUAAGGUUGAUGAAAAAAUUGAAUACAUGGUUGACGACCAAGAAUUUGUUCUUUUUCAAUUUAAUUUAGUGUGUUAGAUUAGGGAUGAUAUGACUAUUAAUAAUUUUAUUCUUUACAAAAAUAAUAAAUGAUUAAUAUUAUUGAUUUUUAAUAGAUAAAUAAAUAACAUAAUUAACAAAUUAAAACAAUAUGAUGUGGAAUUAUAAGUGGUCCAUAUGUAAGUGACAUGUCAUUACUAGUCAUUAAAAUCUAAUCCUAUAUAAGAAAUGGGAUUAAGAAAAAACAAAAAAAAAACAAUGACAGGAUUAAUUUUUUUUUAGCAUUUGUUUCAUUAAAUAAAAAUCCCCAAAAUAAUUUAUAUUUUUUAAGUUAGAACGCAAAAAUAUAAUUAUCUAUCAUUUAAUUUACAACAUUUGAUGCAAACAAACAAAGAGUAUACUGUUGUUGAAUUUGAUGAAUUUGAUCCAGUAUUAAAAUAUUAAAAUUGAUUAUUAUCUAGAAACACGAAUGUUGAUAAAAUAAAAGAAAAGUUUUACUCAAGUAACAAACUUUAUUAGAUAAAUAUCCAAAUUAAUCCACAUUAUUUUCAAACAAAAAAAAUUCAAACAUAAAGAUGAAGUGAAUUGAAUUGGCGAAAAUGUAUAAAAAUUAAGAAGAAUUGUUAAUUUAAUUGGCGACAGUUAACAAACACAGAAGAGAGAGUACAUAUUUUUUAACUAUCACUUUAAACAUUUUUUAUAAAAUGCAUUUCUUAAACACAAUUAUAUAUUUUUAUUUUAUAUUUUGUUGAUUUUGCUCGACCCAUGCGAAUGUACCAGUCUCUUACUAAUUUUAGUAGUAAAAAUUAUACAUAUAAUUUUGUAGGUGUUACUAAAACUUAUAUAAAUAUAAAUUUUUAAUUUUUAAUUUUAUUUUAUAAAUAUAAAUUUUAUUUCAACAAUAAAUUUAAAUUUUAUCUUUUUUAAUAUUAUUAAUAUUAAAAUAACAUUAUUCAUUAAAAAUAUUUUACAAUACAUUUUCAACGAUGACAAAACUAAAUAACUAAAAUUCAAUAUUUAUACAAUUUUAUUUUUAAUUUCAAACAUUAUAUAUACUUCAUUUCAUAUUAUACAACGUCACAAUUGAUUAAUCAAAAUUUUGUUUGGCCAAAUGGCAAGCUCCGUAAGGAGGGUCAAUUACGCAUGACAUAACAUCCUUCAAUAUUAUACCAUCUUUAAAGCAAGGGAAAUCAAAAUCCUGAAACAUCAUGAAACAAUAAUUUAGAGCAUGUAUGACAGUAUUUCCUGAUUGAAUUCAAAUAAAGUGAUGAGCAAUCGCAACAAGCAUCUAAAUUUCCGAGUGUAAGUGUCAUUCGAAAAGCUUCUAUAUAAUCAGAUCAAUCAACUGAACAUGACUAAAAUUUCAAAUUAUUUUUAAUAAAUGUAACUUUGUUCAUACUUAUAAUAGAUAUGAUAGUAAUUGUCAAAAGUCUGUAAAAAUCUUGAAUCAUUACUGGUCCUCAACAAGCCUAAAAGUCAAUUCAAUCAUUCAAAUUGCAUAAGUCCUAUAAAAAUGAUUAAAUAAUAGUUAUCCCGCUAUACGCGAUCCUACUAUCUCAUAUUUCGAUGUCCUUGGUCAAAUAUCCUAUAUGUCAAAAUGUUAUCAAUGUUGGUGCAAAGGUAGAAUGAAUGAUGAACGGAAAUAUUCUAAUAAGAGAAUGACGGCUACAAAAACAUGAUAAAAGUUACAAUGAUUGUCACCCUAUUUAUAAGCUAAAACUAGAGUUACUAGAAUAGGAUAAAAUACUAAAAUACCCUCUAACAAACUUAGGGGCUAAGAAAAUAGUACAACUAAUAAAUAUGAAUUACUUCUAAUACCAUCCCUUAAUUCAUAUUCCAUCAAAACUUGUAACACCAAUUCCAUCCCUUAAUCUGAGAAAUUGAUCGUCUUGAUAGCUUUCGUCAGAGAUCUGCCAACUGUUUCUGAGUGCUGCAGUGUACAACUUCUAACACUCCCCUCUGAACUUGAUGUUCAGAAAAUGAUACUUGGUCUCAAUGUGCUUGCUUCUCCCAUGCAACACUGGUUUUUCUGGCAAGAUUGAUUGCAGACUUGUUGUCAAUCAUCAGCUUCAGAGGUUUGUUUACUUUAAUCUUCAGAUCCUGCAAUAGAUUCAGAAUCCACACAGCUUGGCAUGCAGUAACAGCCCCUGCAAUGUAUUUCAGCUUCACAAGUUGACAACGCCAACAGGUUGCUUCUUGAACACAAGAAUGGGACUCCCCCGAAAUUGAAUAAGUACCAGACGUACUUCUUCUGUCAACUCUGUCUCCACACAAUCAGAAUCUGAAUAACUCAGAAGUUCUGACUCAUCCUUUCUUCCAGAAGGAAAUAAUACUCCAUACUUCAAGUUCCCUUAAUAUACCUCAGAAUCCUGACAGCAGCUUGGUAAUGGCCACUUAGGUUUACCUCAGAAACCUACUAAACCAUCCCACUGAAUAGCAAAUCAGGUUCUGGUAUUGCACAAAUAACCUCAGAGAACCAGACCAGCUAUUUGAAGUUGUAGCGUCCACAAUCCUUUCCAUCAGAGUCAGAAUCCAGUCUGAUUUGUAUCAGAAGGUGUGACAGCAAUUCUACAAUUCUUCAGAUUAAAUCUCUUCAGAAGUUCUAAUUCAUACUUGAGCUGAUGCACAAAUAAUACCUUUCUCAGAGUAUCUGAACUCCAUCCCUAGAAAGUAUGUCAUUUUGCCUAGAUCAGUCAUUUCGAAUUCAUUCAUCAGAACUUUCUUGAACUUGGCUAUCUCCUGUUCAGAACUUCCAGUCAGCAGUAUAUCAUCAACAUAUAAACAUACCAGAGUCAUAUUUUCAAAAUAUGCUGAACAUAGACACCGUACUCCAUCUCACAUUUUCUGAAAGCCUUGCUUCUUGAAAAAAUGAAUCAAUUCUUUGAUUCUAAGCUCUGGGCGGGUUGUUCAUCCAUAUAGAGCUUUUAUAAUUUGUACACCAUCCCUUCCUGAUUCUUUUUCCAAAUCCAGGAGGUUGUGACACGUUAAACUUCUUCUUUCUAAUGGACCGUUCAGAAAUGCAGAUUUUACAUCUAAAUGCAUCAGAGGCCAAUUCCUGUUAGCAAGCUAUUGCAAUCACCAUUCUUAUUGUUUCAUGUCUUGCUACAGGUGCAAACUUCGAGAGUAAUCCAGCCCAGGUUUCUGUUAGAAAUCCUCUGGCUACCAACCUUGCUUUAUGUUGCCAAUUGAACCAUCUGGCUUUAACUUCUGCUUGAAAACCCAUCUGACGCUGAUGGCUUUCUUGUCUUUUGGAAGUUCUGUCAGCUUCCAAGUUUUGUUUCUCUCUAUGCAUCAAGUUUGUUUCUUUCAUGGCGCUUCAGCCAGAGUUUCUGCUUAAGAGCCUCUUCUGUACUUAUGGGUUCAGAGUCUACUAACAUGGCACACUGAAUAACUUCUCCUUCAGAGUCUACUUCAGUGUCUUGCAGCAUGUCAAAUUCUGCAUAUCUUCUGGAGAUGUUUCUGAUUCUUUGUGGUCUCUGAACUUGUUCAGAGUCUUGAGCUUCAGAGUUUCUAGCUUCAGAUGGUUGACUUCCUCCAGAGCUUUGAUCAUCUUCAGGGUCUGGCAUAUUUCCAGAGUUUGAAUUGCCACCAGAAUCUGGAUUACCAUCAGAGUCUGGUUCAUCAGAGUCUGGAUCAUCAGAGUCACCUUCAUCUUCUGAGUCUUCUCCAGAGUCAGACUCACUAUCAGAAUCAGAAUCAACGUCUUCAGAAAUUCUUAACUCUGACGUUUCUUCAGAGGUUCUAACAUCAGAAUCAGAUUGAGACUUAUCCCAAUUCCAAACUUCUGAUUCCUUCACAAUCACAUCUCUGCUGAAUUCAAUUUUAUUGGUUUCUGGACAAUAGAGCUUGUAUGCAACCUCGUAGUCGGUUUCCCUAUCAGAAUCAUCACUUUGCUUCUAUCAUCCAGCUUCUGUCUUUUGGCUUCUGGAACAUGUUUAUAGCAAACAGAACCAAACACCUUCAGAUGACUAACACUUUGCUUAUCUCCAUUCCGCUUCUGUAUUGGAACUAUUUCCUUAAACUUCUUCGUAGGACAUCAGUUGAGUACAUACGUUGUAGUGGCAAUAGCUUCUCCCCAGAGCUUCUGAGGAAGUUUCUUCUCCUUUAGCAUGCUUCUCACCAUGUCAAGCAAAGUGCGGUUUCUUCUUUCAGCAAGACCAUUGUGUUGAGGGGUAUAAGGAGCAGUAACCUCAUGCUCAAUUCCAUUCUCCUCACAGAACUUCUGGAACUCUUUGGAGUUAUACUCACCUCCGCCGUCAGUUCUAAGAAUCUUCAACUUCUGACCACUCUGAUUCUCAGCCUUCAUUCUGAACUUCUUGAAUUCAUCAAACACCUCGUGUUUAAACUUAAUAAGGGAUACCCAUGUCAUUCUUGUGUUCAUCAACAAAAUAAAACACAAAGUAUUUAAUUCCCUCCAAUCGAUGCUACUGAAUGACCACACACAUCAGAAUGUACAACUCCCACAGGAUGUUUUGCUCUUGGAGCAAGUUUCUGACGCAAAUGGAAUCGUGGUUGUUUCCUUCAUGCAAACUUUGCAUGACUUUUCAGGCUUCUUAUUGAAUGAAAUUCCAUGUACGAACUUCUUUGAAUAGAUUUUAAGCUUUGAUUCAUGAAAUCUUCAAUGAGCCACAGCACUCUCCUUUGUGCUACACUGAUUGAGCCAAUCAGAUCUUGACGUACUUGCAGACCUCCCUGACUUUCACCGUAAGACCCAAUUGAUCGGGCAUUUUCGAUUCACCUUAACUUUCUACUCUGUUCUGACUCCAUAAUCACAAUCUGAUUGCAGUCGGAUACAGGCUUCAGAAAAUCGUCCUUGAUGGUAACUGAAAAAACCUUUCUCAAUAUUAAUGUCCGCACACUCAUGAAGAUUGCUGUCUGAUGCCAGGUUAGAUCCACACUUCUGAAUCAAUUGCUGUUUCCCAUUGUUCAGAUCACUCUACAUUUCCACAUACCUUCUGCAUUAAGAUAUUUGUCAUCAAAACACUCUGAUAUCUUUGUCCUCUUUUAGAGUCAAAGUCAAUCAGCUCAUUUCUUGUUUCCUAGUAAAUGAUAUGAACAGCCAUGUCCAUAUACCACCAGUACUAGUCAGAUCCAUAUAUCAGAUUCAGAGGCAUCAUAGCACAAUUUCGCAUCAGAAUUUCUGGCUAUAAUUGUGGUCUUUGAUUUUUCUCUCCAUUGGUUGGACCAACAGUCUUUCUAGCAAGUGACCAAACUUCUUACAGCGUACACUUAGUAUUUCUUCUUGUCAUCUUCUCUUUGUCCCUCUGAGCAUUCUUUUGUCUAUCAGAGGUUGACUUUCUGAUUCUGACACACCAUCAAAGAUUUCGACUGGCUUCUGACUGCUUCUUGGAUACCUCUAUCAAGUGCUUCAGAGCCGCUGCUUACUUCCUUCAGAAUUCUUCUCAGCAAACCAAACUCCUUGCGCUUCUAGACUGCUCUGCAGCUCUUCAAUUCUCAGGUGCUCAGAUUUUGAAUGUUCUAGUUGCUACCACGAGUGUAAUAAAUUGAGGGUAAAGGAUGUCAAUACCUUCUCCCAUUGAUUGUUCUUUAGAAAGAGUUUUCCACUACGCUUUCAUCUCAUAGUGAUGAGAAUCACUCUGAGAUGGUAUUCAGGAAACUUUCUCAUAUUCUUCAUUGUUGAGAUUCUCAUAUUGCUUUUCUCAAGGACUGAGUUUCACCUUCUUCACUGAAUGCGGGUUCACCCACCAUACAUCUACAGUGUGUCCCACGCAGUUCUGUGCUGAUCGAUGAAUCUGCAAUCGUUCUAACACUUUACAUCAGACACAUUGAUGAAAUGAAGAAACCAUGCUGUUCCGAUCCUCUUCUCUUACUGUCCUUUGCGCGUUGUUCUGUUAUGCUGUCCGGCAUCUGCCACCGGAACAAGCCAUGUAGUGAAAGAUCUGAAAAUCUUGAGCAUCCGAACAGGUAAGCAUUUGGAAUCAUCCAACAUUCGUUUUUUACCGUCAAAUACUGGAAGUUUGGUGUUCAUGUUGCCGUUUCCGUUCAUCUUUCUACCUUGCAGAGUACACUCAGAUUUCUCACACAGUGUUUCCCAACCCACAGAAUUAAAAUUCUGAUCAGAUUUUGUUCAAGAUUCAACACGAAUCUAAGAAAUAAAAUCAAACACACAAGACCUCACGUUCACUCGUGUUUCCCGUGUUUCCCAAUGAAUCCGAACCGGAGCUCUAGAUACCAAUUGUUGGUGCAAAGGUAGAAUGAAUGAUGAACGGAAAUAUUCUAAUAAGAGAAUGACGGCUACAAAAACAUGAUAAAAGUUAUAAUAAUUGUCACCCUAUUUAUAAGCUAAAACUAGGGUUACUAGAAUAGAAUAAAAUACUAAAAUACCCUCUAACAAACUUAGGGGCUAAGAAAAUAGUACAACUAAUAAAUAUGAAUUACUUCUAAUAAUCAACCAUCACAAUUUUCCCAAAUAUUUUCUAAAUCCUUUCUCCUCACGUAAAGUCCAUCAUAUAGAAAUUACAUGCCAUUUGUAGGCUGGAUCAUAGGUUACAUUUUGGUAAACCCUAAUUACAACCUAUAAAUGUAUUUUUGUCCAUCGUUUUCGGCAAGAACUUGAACCUAGUAAAAAAUAAUAACAUAUUUAAAAUCUUAAAAUUAAAAACAAAAUAAAAAAAUAAAAAGUCCUUUUCUAGAAAGGAAUCAUUAGUUUUAGUCUACAAAAUCGUUUUUCUAGAAGGGCAUCAUUAGUUUUAGUCCACAUUAAACAGCAUGAAUUUAUAAGUCUGUUUCAUCAUUUAAUUCGCAACAUUCAAUGUAAACAAACAGUACACAAUUUUUGAAAAUGAUCCAUAAUAAAAUUGAUUAUAAUCUAGAAGUACGAAUGCUGAUAAAAUAAAAGUGUGUCGUGUGUAUACAGUGAGACGGUGAGUCAACAAAGUCACGCCAGCAGCAGCAAGGGAAUAAAUUGAGGUCGGCAAAGAAGGCAGUGUGAGUGCCUAUAAAUAGAAAGCUUUCCUAUGCUACUGAUAAGUCACACACACCAACAUACAUAUUUUCUUCUCAAACUCCUCUUUACAACUUCAUCAUCACCAUAUUAUACAUAAUCAUGGGUGUUUUCACAUACGAGAAUGAUACCACCUCCACCGUCCCUCCUGCCAAGCUCUUCAAAGCUGUCGUGCAUGAUGCUGAUGUCAUCGUUCCAAAGGUUGUUGAUUCAAUCAAAACUGUUGAGAUCGUUGAAGGAAAUGGUGGUCCAGGCACUGUCAAGAAGCUCACCUUCGUUGAAGGAGGACAGACCUUGUACGUGUUGCACAAAGUUGAAGCCAUUGAUGAUGCAAAGUUGGAAUAUAAUUACAGUAUAGUUGGAGGAGUCGGUAUAUCGGACAUAGUUGAGAAGAUAUCAUUUGAUGCACAAAGUUGAAGCCAUUGAUGAUGCAAAGUUGGAAUAUAAUUACAGUAUAGUUGGAGGAGUCGGUAUAUCGGACAUAGUUGAGAAG
rnacentral:lncRNA from 1 species